UGACAUCUCGUGUUUGGCGAAUGAGCUCGGAUUUUUGUAGUAUUUGAAUAAGAUAAAUCUGUUCAUUCCUCGACACAAGAAGUUG
rnacentral:pre_miRNA from 1 species